AGGACGAACGCUGGCGGCGUGCCUCAUACAUGCAAGUGGAGCGACGAACCAGGAUUUAUCCUGGGGCAAAGCCGCGAACGGGUGAGUAACACGUGGGUUACCUGCCCCGAUGAUUGGGACAACCCGAGGAAACUCGGGCUAAUACCAAAUGUGUUCUUGGUCGUGAUGACCAAGAAGAAAGGAAGCCUCGGCCUCCGCAUCGGGAUGGGCCCGCGGCCCAUUAGCUAGUUGGUGGGGUAAUGGCCUACCAAGGCGACGAUGGGUAGCUGGUCUGAGAGGACGAUCAGCCACACUGGGACUGAGACACGGCCCAGACUCCUACGGGAGGCAGCAGUAGGGAAUCUUGCGCAAUGCGCGAAAGCGUGACGCAGCAACGCGCGUGGGGAUGACGCCUUCGGGUGUAAACCACUUUUCUUGGGGACGAGCAGGGACGGUACCCGAGGAAUAAGCCUCGGCUAACUACGUGCCAGCAGCCGC
rnacentral:rRNA from 1 species